UACGGAGGAUGCAAGCGUUAUCCGGAUUCAUUGGGUUUAAAGGGUGCGCAGGCGGGGCAAUAAGUCAGUGGUGAAGUCCUGCGGCUUAACCGUAGAACUGCCAUUGAUACUGUUGUCCUUGAGUAUAGUUGAGGUGGGCGGAAUAUGUAAUGUAGCGGUGAAAUGCAUAGAUAUUACAUAGAACACCGAUUGCGAAGGCAGCUCACUAAGCUGUUACUGACGCUGAUGCACGAAAGCGUGGGGAGCGAACAGG
rnacentral:rRNA from 1 species